rnacentral:rRNA from 1 species
CCUACGGGUGGCAGCAGUGAGGAAUAUUGGUCAAUGGGCGGGAGCCUGAACCAGCCAAGUCGCGUGAAGGAAGAAGGUACUGAGUAUUGUAAACUUCUUUUGUCGGGGAACAAAGGCUGAGACGCGUCCCCGGAUGAGUGUACCCGAAGAAAAAGCAUCGGCUAACUCCGUGCCAGCAGCCGCGGUAAUACGGAGGAUGCGAGCGUUAUCCGGAUUUAUUGGGUUUAAAGGGUGCGCAGGCGGGCGAUCAAGUCAGCGGUAAAAGGCCGGGGCUCAACCCCGGCCGGCCGUUGAAACUGGUAGUCUAGAGUUGGAGAGAAGUAUGCGGAAGUCGUGGUGUAGCGGUGAAAUGCAUAGAUAUCGCGAAGAACUCCGAUUGCGAAGGCAGCAUGCCGGCUCCAUACUGACGCUGAGGCACGAAAGCGUGGGGAUCGAACAGGAUUAGAUACCCUAGUAGUC